GUGUUCAUCCUUACGCUGUAUUAUCAUGUGCUGGACCAUUUUUUUCUUCUCUUUGUAUCUACUUUUUUUGAGGAUUCUUUGUAAAUCAUGAGCGACUCUGUGGCGCAAUGUACAGCGCGUUGGACUUCUAGUUGAUCAUCAUGAAAGUAAUUCAAAGGUUGUGGGUUCGAGUCCCACCAGAGUUGAGCUUUAGAUUCAGUGACAAAAGCCAGAAAUAUCUCUGGGCAAUUACUGCUUAAAAAGAAAGCAUUUCUUUCCAUCCCAUUAUAAUGCAUUUACCGUCCGUUACAUUUUGAGUUUUAAAGUUUUACUCCUGUCGUAGUCAAGUUUUAAAUCUAGCAUGGUGUUCACCCUUACGCUGUAUUAUUAUGUGCUGGACCAUUUUUUUCUUCUCUUUAUAUCUUCUUUUUUUGAAGGAUUCUUUGCAAAUCAUAAGCGACUCUGUGGCACAAUGGACAGCGCGUUGGACUUCUAGUUGAUCAUCAUGAAAGUAAUUCAAAGGUUGUGGGUUCGAGUCCCACCAGAGUUGAACUUUAGAUUCAGUGACAAAAGCCAGAAAUCUCUCUGGGGAAUUACUGCUUAAAUAAAAGCAUUUUAUCCCAUCCCAUAAUAAUGCAUUUACCGUCCGUUACAUUUUGAGUUUUAAAGUAUUACUUCUGUCGU
ensembl:lncRNA